rnacentral:tRNA from 1 species
ACUUAAAUAGCUUAUCUAGAGUAUAAUAUUGAAGAUAUUAGGGAGAUUAUUGAAUCUUUAAGUA